ACCCGAUCAGUUGAUGAAGGACAAACAGUGUUUUAUAACUGUCCUCAUUGCAAAUACCAAGAAACUGAAUAUUCUUGAAGGGGCCGCAUACUGUGAGUAUACUGUGAGUGUUAUCACGAAUACCAACAAGAAAACAAAAAGCUGAGGAUUACCACUACUACCAGAAUGCUAUUUGAAUUUCUUUCUUAUUCAAAUAUUUUUAUCUCCUUUAAUAUCGAAUUUCAAGAUAGSAAUUAAAAUAACCACCAGACAUCGGACAAUGUCUGUCCAGAACUGGGACUUGUCAGGCCAAAUCUUUGCCUAGAAGGUCAUUUUGACCAAGAGUAGAACGUUUAAUCAGAAAUAACGUAUGACUAAGCUAAAACUAUUUUGGUCUGUGAUUAUGCCUGAUGUUAAUUACAAAUCAGUGAUAAAAAAGAAACUUCAAAAAGGAUUCUGGUAUGUGCAUAUAGAAGGAAUAUAUAGUAUAGACUGA